CGGCGUGGCUCCCCUGCGUGCGGUCUUCGGCUCCCGAGUCAUUCCGGCAGUUCGGACGCCCAAAGCGGAAACAAAACCCCUCGCCUCCAAAUCGAAUCCAUCGCAAAUCUCUCUUCUUUCUCUAUCUCUCUCCGGCCCCUUCCCUUUUCAGAUUCUUACUUCUAUUAUAUGCCCCCUUUCCCUCUUUAGAUUCUUAUUUCUAUUAAAUUUAAGGGGAGAAAAGCGGGGCCUUGGGACUGAUUUCUCCGCCGGAGUCUCUCAGAGAAUUUAACCCAAGGUCAUCUCUCCAGUUUCUCGUCUGGCUUACUGCAAUCCUGGUAGCUUGCUGAUUGAUAGCCUACUUGUCUUGAUAUCAUGGAUCGCACAAAUCGAGAAGAUCAAGAUGGAGUUCGUGUCAUGGGAUUUGAAAUUCCAGGUUCGCCUGAUUCGAGCUACAACAAUCCCAUUCCAUCAAAUGAUGAUGAAGCUCGGGAUCCGCCAAUCCUCCCCCCUCACCUGCAGAAUACCUUGCUGAGUUUCCCAGCCAGCCAGGAUGAUUCAAUCAGUCUCCCGUUGCCUCAGCAUGUGAUUCUUAACCACCUCUAUAUUGAGAACAGAGAGGGUCCAAGAUCAGUUGUCGCAUUAGGUACCACCCAACGCUUCCGUUCAAAGUAUGUGACGGUUGUGCUGUACACACCUGUCCGGAGAAGAUGACUGCAUACUUACCUAUGUUCUGUGCUGGAACGAAUAUGAUCCAUGAAUGCACUCUUUUGGUUCUGUUGGUCCCAAUAGGAAGUCUUAUUACCUGAUGUCAUUCAUGCUUAUUUGGUCUUAGUUGAUUGUGGUGGUGGUUUUCUUGCGGUUGAUGGUGCACAUGGUAGUAUUAUUUAGUCAUUUAUGGGGUCUUCUAUAUAU